rnacentral:rRNA from 1 species
UGAGGAAUAUUGGUCAAUGGACGAAAGUCUGAACCAGCCAUGCCGCGUGAAGGAAUAAGGCCCUAUGGGUCGUAAACUUCUUUUGUAUGUGAGCAAUAAGGUCCACGAGUGGUCCGAUGAGAGUAGCAUACGAAUAAGCAUCGGCUAACUCCGUGCCAGCAGCCGCGGUAAUACGGAGGAUGCGAGCGUUAUCCGGAUUUAUUGGGUUUAAAGGGUGCGUAGGCCGGCUGUCAAGUCAGCGGUAAAAAUUCGGGGCUCAACCCCGUAAAGCCGUUGAAACUGGCGGUCUUGAGUAGCGGCGAGGCAUGCGGAAUGCGAGGUGUAGCGGUGAAAUGCAUAGAUAUCACGCAGAACUCCGAUUGCGAAGGCAGCAUGCCAGCCGCCGACUGACGCUGAGGCGCGAAAGUGCGGGUAUCGAACAGGAUUAGAUACCCUGGUAGU